rnacentral:lncRNA from 1 species
UUUGUCAUAGCAUUAUUUCUCUUUAAUUUAGAUUUCUUUGAGACCAGAGUUCUUUUACAUUUAAAGUCUCAGGAACUUGGAAAGAAUGGGCAUCUAUAUUUCAUUUUAAACGAGACUUCUGUACCUCCGGAAUGACAGGCUUUCUCUUUCCCUGAAAACUGCUUCUCAGGGAGCAAAGGAGCGGAGGCAAACAUGAAGGCUGAAAAUGCCUCAUUCUGUGAGGGCCUGGUGUUUCCUGUGCUCCGUGAAGAUAAAGGACAGUGACACGAGUGCUUAUGUCACCAGCCUCCAAUGUCUCUCUCUUUUAUUUUUUAACAGAACAACAAUCUCAAUUUCUAUGACCUUUAUUAGAUCUGUAAACUAGGCCAAAACAGGUCAGCCCUGCACCUCCAAGCACUCUUUACUGUCCCCUGGUGGCUAAAGUGAGAGAAACGUGUUCUUUAAGGACCAAAGCCAAAGAACCAGCAGAUUGGUUCAAUAAUUCUUCCAGCGGGGAGAGAAAAGUUGGCAUAAUAUUAACUGAAUGUUGAGGACAAUUUCGUUCCUCCCUUUUUCUAAUCUUCUGUUUCUAUUUUAUAGCUCCCCCUGUUGGGCCCAGGUAUUUCACUGCUGUCCACCUUUCUUCCCUCCCUCCAUGGUUCCUAACACAUUCCAUACUGAAAGGAGGAGUUCUUCUCUCAGCUACCUAAGGUACAUUUGGUACUGUAAGACCGUGGGCCUUACCAAACGCUCCGAGGAGCUGGCUACAGCGGCAAUCACCCGGGGAGGAACACACCGGACAGUGGGAAGAAAAAAACAGACCUUUAUUAGUCUGGCCAGACGGCACUCCCAAAGCAAGGUAGCUGAGAGAGGCAGCAGGCACAGAAUCCAAAGCUAUUUUUAUAGGAGACUGAAGGGGGGGUUAACAGGCAGGAACGGGAACAAAGGUUUGUGACUCAUUAUUACAUGCUGAUGGUCAGCAGGCACAGAAUCCAAAGCUAUUUUUAUAGGAGACUGAAGGGGGGGUUAACAGGCAGGAACGGGAACAAAGGUUUGUGACUCAUUAUUACAUGCUGAUGGUCAGCAGGCACACAGUAAGACCUUGUGACCACAGGGUCACGGCCGUCACGUACUGAUAGUCAGCACGUCUGGUGACGGUUGUUCUACUGAUAGUGAGUCCGGGAAUUUUCCAAGUUCCGGGCAAACAAGAGGGUGGAUGAUUUAACUAAGAACUCUUAGUUACAGAUUUUAUCUGCUUAGCAAGCACAUUUCUGACCACUAACUCUAAAUAGAACAGAGGCAAGGGGAAUAAAUGAAUUUUGAAUCACACA